rnacentral:rRNA from 1 species
CUGUAACANAGGGAAGGCGAACCAGUGAUGGUAAGCAAAACCCAAAAAGCAGUCACAGUUCGGAUUGAAGGCUGAAAUUCGCCUUCAUGAAGCCGGAAUUGCUAGUAAUCACAGGUCAGCAUACUGUGGUGAAUACGUUCCCGGGCCUUGUACACACCGCCCGUCACACCAUGAGAGUUGAGAAUACCCGAAGCCCAUGUCAAAGUGGUCGAAGGUAGGCUUGAUGAUUGGGGUGAAGUCGUAACAAGGUAAC